rnacentral:rRNA from 1 species
GAGGGAAUAUUGGUUAAUGUGCGAAAGCGCGAACCAGCAACGCCGCGUGUGCGAUGAAGGCCUUCGGGUUGUGAAGCACUUUUAGAGGGAAUGAGGAAGGACAGUACCCUCAGAAUAAGCCUCGGCUAACUACGUGCCAGCAGCCGCGGUAAUACGUAGGAGGCGAGCGUUAUCCGGAUUUACUGGGCGUAAAGCGUGUGUAGGCGGUUUGAUAAGUUGGAUGUGAAAGCUCCUGGCUUAACUGGGAGAGGUCGUUCAAAACUAUCAGACUUGAGAGUGGUAGAGGGAGGUGGAAUUCCGGGUGUAGUGGUGAAAUGCGUAGAUAUCCGGAGGAACACCAGUGGCGAAGGCGGCCACCUGGCCGGCAACUGACGCUGAGGUGCGAAAGCGUGGGGAUCAAACA